rnacentral:lncRNA from 1 species
UUUAUAAGUUUCCUUCCACAUGUUUAGGGAACUCAUGAUCGUAUCAUUCUCUCCCUCUUCAAGAGGAUUUGUCCUCAAAUCCAAACCUGCAUAAAUAACUAAAGGAUUAGUAACAAAAAUUCUCUCUUUUGGAUAUUCCCUUUCUUUUUGCAAGUUGAAUUUUUUUUCUUCAAUCUUCUCAAAGUUGUCAUCUUUUUCAACCUUCUCGUUU